rnacentral:rRNA from 1 species
UACGUAGGGUGCGAGCGUUGUCCGGAAUUAUUGGGCGCAAAGAGCUCGUAGGCGGCCUGUCGCGUCGGAUGUGAAAGCCCGGGGCUUAACCCCGGGUCUGCAUUCGAUACGGGCAGGCUAGAGUGUGGUAGGGGAGAUCGGAAUUCCUGGUGUAGCGGUGAAAUGCGCAGAUAUCAGGAGGAACACCGGUGGCGAAGGCGGAUCUCUGGGCCAUUACUGACGCUGAGGAGCGAAAGCGUGGGGAGCGAACAGG